CUGCUGCCUCCCGUAGGAGUCUGGUCCGUGUCUCAGUACCAGUGUGGGGGACCUUCCUCUCAGAACCCCUACGCAUCGUCGCCUCGGUGGGCCGUUACCCCACCGACUAGCUAAUGCGCCGCAUGGCCAUCCGCAGCCGAUAAAUCUUUAAACAUCGGGAGAUGCCCUCCCAACGUUGUUACGCGGUAUUAGACGGAAUUUCUUCCGCUUAUCCCCCUGCUGCGGGCAGGUUCCAUACGUGUUACUCACCCGUGCGCCGGUCGCCGG
rnacentral:rRNA from 1 species